AGCAGCCGCGGUAAUUCCAGCUCCAAUAGCGUAUAUUAAAGUUGUUGCAGUUAAAAAGCUCGUAGUUGAAUUUCGGGAUCAAUACGUCGGUCGUGCUUCGGUACGUACUGGCGUAAUUGAUUUCUCCCUUCUGACGAACCAUGAUGUCAUUAACUUGGUGUCAUGGGAAAUCAGGACUGUUACUUUGAAAAAAUUAGAGUGUUUAAAGCAGGCUCACGCUUGAAUACAUUAGCAUGGAAUAAUGAAAUAGGACGUUCGAUCCUAUUUUGUUGGUUUUUAGGAUCAACGUAAUGAUUAAUAGGGAUAGUUGGGGGCAUUAGUAUUCAAUUGUCAGAGGUGAAAUUCUUGGAUUUAUUGAAGACUAACUACUGCGAAAGCAUUUGCCAAGGAUGUUUUCAUUAAUCAAGAACGAAAGUUAGGGGAUCGAAGACGAUCAGAUACCGUCGUAGUCUUAACCAUAAACUAUGCCGACUAGGGAUCGGAUGGUGUUAAUUUUUAAUGACUCAUUCGGCGCCUUACG
rnacentral:rRNA from 1 species